AGCGAACGCUGGCGGCAGGCUUAACACAUGCAAGUCGAACGGGCAUCUUCGGAUGUCAGUGGCAGACGGGUGAGUAACACGUGGGAACGUACCCUUCGGUUCGGAAUAACUCAGGGAAACUUGAGCUAAUACCGGAUACGCCCUUUUGGGGAAAGGUUUACUGCCGAAGGAUCGGCCCGCGUCUGAUUAGCUUGUUGGUGGGGUAACGGCCUACCAAGGCGACGAUCAGUAGCUGGUCUGAGAGGAUGAUCAGCCACACUGGGACUGAGACACGGCCCAGACUCCUACGGGAGGCAGCAGUGGGGAAUAUUGGACAAUGGGCGCAAGCUUGAUCCAGCCAUGCCGCGUGAGUGAUGAAGGCCUUAGGGUUGUAAAGCUCUUUUGUCCGGGACGAUAAUGACGGUACCGGAAGAAUAAGCCCCGGCUAACUUCGUG
rnacentral:rRNA from 1 species